rnacentral:rRNA from 1 species
UACGUAGGCAGCGAGCGUUGUUCGGAGUUACUGGGCGUAAAGAGUGCGUAGGCGGUUUUCUAAGUUUGGUGUGAAAUCUCCCGGCUUAACUGGGAGGGUGCGCCGAAGACUGGAAGGCUUGAGUAUGGGAGAGGUAAGCGGAAUUCCUGGUGUAGCGGUGAAAUGCGUAGAUAUCUGGAGGAACACCGGUGGCGAAGGCGGCAUCCUGGACCGGUAUUGACGCUGAGGCGCGAAAGCCAGGGGAGUAAACGGG